rnacentral:rRNA from 1 species
CCUACGGGAGGCAGCAGUGGGGAAUAUUGGACAAUGGGGGAAACCCUGAUCCAGCAAUGCCGCGUGUGUGAAGAAGGUCUUCGGAUUGUAAAGCACUUUCGACGGGGACGAUGAUGACGGUACCCGUAGAAGAAGCCCCGGCUAACUUCGUGCCAGCAGCCGCGGUAAUACGAAGGGGGCUAGCGUUGCUCGGAAUGACUGGGCGUAAAGGGUGCGUAGGCGGCGAGAUAAGUCAGGCGUGAAAUUCCUGGGCUCAACCUGGGGACUGCGUUUGAGACUGUUUGGCUAGAGGAUGGAAGAGGCUCGUGGAAUUCCCAGUGUAGAGGUGAAAUUCGUAGAUAUUGGGAAGAACACCGGUGGCGAAGGCGGCGAGCUGGUCCAUUACUGACGCUGAGGCACGAUAGCGUGGGGAGCAAACAGGAUUAGAUACCCUGGUAGUCCACGCCGUAAACGAUGUGUGCUGGAUGUUGGGGUUCAUAGAACCUCAGCGUCGUAGCUAACGCGAUAAGCACACCGCCUGGGGAGGUACGGCCGCGAGUAGAACUACAAGAAGUAGACGGCGNGAGACGUGCCGACGGACGACGACGAGGGAGUAGG